UACAGAGGUCUCAAGCGUUGUUCGGAUUCAUUGGGCGUAAAGGGUGCGUAGGCGGCGCGGUAAGUCGGGUGUGAAAUCUCGGGGCUUAACUCCGAAACUGCAUUCGAUACUGCCGUGCUUGAGGACUGGAGAGGAGACUGGAAUUUACGGUGUAGCGGUGAAAUGCGUAGAUAUCGUGAGGAAGACCAGUGGCGAAGGCGGAUCUCUGGACAGUUCCUGACGCUGAGGCGCGAAGGCCAGGGGAGCAAACGGG
rnacentral:rRNA from 1 species